GUCCUGGGGGGCAUCGGGCCGGGGAGGGGAUUGUCCCGCUCUGCUCUGCGCUGGGGCGGCCUCACCUGGGAUAUUGAGGGCAGGUGUGGGCACCGCAAUAUAAGAAGGAUAUUAAGGUGUUAGAAGGCGUCCAGAGAAGCUGGUGAAGGGUCUUGAGGGGAGGAGGAGCGGCUGAAGGCACUUGGUCUGUUCAGCUGGAGGAGACUGAGGGGAGACUCAUCCCAGUUACAGCUUCCUCUGAGGGGAGGUGGAGAGACAGACACUGAUCUCUGCUCUGGUGACAGUGACAGCUGGAAUGGCUGGGAAUGGCUGGAGCUCUGUCAGGGCAGGGUUAGGCUGGAUGUUAGGAAAAGGUUCUUCCUCAGAGGGUGGUCGAGCACUGAACAGGCUCCCCAGCGAAUGGGCACAGCACAGAGCCUGCCUGAGUUCAAGGAGCUCCAGAGGACAUGAUGUGACUCUUGGGGUGUCCUCUGCAGGACUGGGACUCGAUGAUCCAUCUGAGUCCCCUCCAACUCAGCAUGUUCUGUGAGUCUGUUUUGGGUUUUUGCUAAGUUGUGCUUAUCCAAAGUCAAAGACUUCUUUCUUGUCCCAUGCUCUGGCAGUGAGGAGGUUGACUAAGGAAACGGGGAGGGAGCACAGAUGGGACAGGUGACCUGAACUGGCCAAAGGGAUAUUCCACACCACAGAAUGCCCAGUGUAUCAGCUGGGGGGAGUGACUGGGAAGGAGCUGGUCUGGGUUCAGGAAGGGGAUCUGACAUCAGUCAGUGGAUGGGGAGCAACUGCAUUGUGCACCACUUGUUUUCCCCUUUAUUAUCGUUAUUAUUAUUAUUAUUAUUAUUGUUGUUGUUGUUAUAAUCUACCAUUACUAGUGUAUUUUACUUUAUUUUCAAUUAUUAAACUGUUAUUUUCUCAACAUGCAAGUUUUACUUUGAUUCUCCUUCCCAUUCCACAGGGUGGGAGGAGAAGAGAAGGGGGGAGUUGAGCAAGGAGCUGCGUAGUGCCUAAUUUCCUGCUCAGCUUAACCCACCACAGCUGGCUUAGGGAAUGUGUGUUGGAUGAAUGGGUGGUGAGGUGGAUCAAGGGCUGUCUGGGUGGCAGAGCUCAGAGGGUAUCAUCCACUUGGAAGUCUGCAGUCAGUGGCUUCCCCAAAGAUCUAUACUGGGUUCAGUAGUCCAGUCUUAAUCAACUUGUUUAUCAACGAUCUGGACAGACUGAUGGAAUGUACCCUUCAGCAGGUUUGGUGAUGAUAUGGAACUGGGGAAGUGGCUGAUCCACCUGAAGGUUGGGGGCUGGGUGACACACCUGGGGCACUGGCUGAUCCACCUGAAGGCUGUGCUCCCAUUCAGCAGGACUUUGAGAGGCUGGAGAAUUGGACAAAGAGAAACUUAAUGGUGCUCAACAGGGGCAAUGCAGGUCCUACCCCUGGGGAGGAACAGCCCCAAGUACCAGCACAGGCAGGGGUGACCUGCUGGAGCAUCUCUGCAGGGAGGACCUGGGGGUCCCACGGUCACUGAGCUGUCCUGGCCAGCAGAGUGUCCUGGGGGCCCUGGGGUGCACUGGGAGGAGCACUGGCAGCAGGUCAGGGAGUGACCCUGCCCCUGUGUCCCUCUGCCCAGCCCUGGGGGGCACAGCUGAGUGCUGUGUACAGCCCUGGGCUCCUUGCAGGGGGCAUCUCCUUGCUGAGGAAAGGCUGAGGGAGCAGGGGCUAUUCUGCCUUGAGAUGGGUCCUCAUCCCCGUCCUGUCUGUCCCUGUCUGCAGGGAGGGCUCAGCCUCUUCUCCGGGGGGCCCAGCAAUGGCACAAGAACAACUGGCAGGAACUGAUGUACAGGAAGUUCCAUCUGAACAUGAUGGAAGAACUUUGCUGUGCGGGUGACACACUGCCUAGAGAGGGCGUGGAGUGUUCAUCCCUGGAGAUAUUUUAAAAAAACCUAACAAAACACCAAAACACAAAAGGACGGAAUCGUGUUCCGUUCGCUCUGGGAUGACCCUUCUGGACCACGGCAGGGCUCUUGAGCCUGAGUCCGUGUGUGAUUCUGGAACUCGGAGGCGGUGGCGCUUCCGGGCAGCGAGCUGCGGUUCCGGGGCAGAUCUGCGGUUCCGGGGCACAGCAGCAAGUCCGAGAAGGGACCGGCGGUGGGUCCGGGCAUUGAGCGGCGGCGUCAGGAAGGGACCGGCGGCGCCUCCGGGCACUGAGCGGCGCCUCCGGGCACUGAGCGGCGGUGUGUCCGGGCAUUGAGCGGCGGCGGUGUGUCCGGGCAUUGAGCGGCGGCGGUGUGUCCGGGCAUUGAGCGGCGGUGUGUUCGUGCAUUGAACGGCGGUCCCGGGCAUUGAGCGGCGGUGUGUCCGGGCCUUGAGCAGCUGUCCUGGGCAUUGAGCGGCGGUGUGUCCGGGCAUUGAGCGGCGGUGUGUCCGGGCAUUGAGCGGCGGUGUAUACGUGCAUUGAGCAGCUGUCCUGGGCAUUGAGCGGCGGUGUGUCCGGGCAUUGAGCGGCGGUGUGUCCGGGCAUUGAGCGGCAGUCCCGGGCAGAGCACGGCUGCGGCAGCCCAGGCUCCGGGGCCAUGGAGGAGCAGCAGCGGCGGGCGCUGCGGCGCGGGCGGGCCCGGCUGGUGGCGGCGCUGCGGGUGGAGCCGCUCUGGGACCCGCUGGAGCAGCGCGGGCUCUUCACCCGGCCAAUGCUGGAGGAGCUGCAGAGCGCUGGCAGCCGAGCGGAGCAAGCCCGGCAGCUGAUCAUUGACCUGGAGACUCGAGGGAAGCAGGCUUUCCCUGCCUUCCUCUCCAUCCUGCGGGACACCGGGCAGGGCGACCUCGCUGAGAUGCUGAUCCAGGAGUGCGAAUCCCGGCCGGUGCCACCGCAGCUGCCAGAGCUGCGGCCCGUGGAGCUGGAGCUGCGGGAGGAAAAACAGCGUAAAAAUGUGACCCCUCAUGAACGUUUGUCUAUCCCAGUGCAAGCCGAGAGUGAAAGACCUCGAAUGCCUCCUGUGCCAGCCCGGGGUUCUGCUGUUGACAAGAGGAGGCGUGACCAGGAUUAUGAGAUGAAAGCAGAUCCCUGUGGACACUGCCUGAUCCUCAAUAACGUCAAUUUCUCCAGAGACUCGGGUCUGUCCACCCGAGAGGGCUCUGACAUUGACUGUGAGAAGCUGGAGAGGCGCUUCAGGGCCUUGCGCUUCACCGUCCUGACCCGGCGGGAUCUGAAAACUCAGGAAAUGGUGUUGGAGCUGCUGAAGCUGUCUCGGCAGGACCACAGUGCUUUGGCCUGCUGCAUUGUGGUGAUCCUUUCCCAUGGCUGUCAGACGAGCCAUAUUCAGUUUCCUGGAGGCGUUUAUGGAACGGAUGGAAAACCCAUUCCCAUAGAAAAGAUUGUGAACUAUUUCAAUGGGUCCAAUUGCCCGAGUUUGAGAGGAAAACCCAAACUGUUCUUCAUCCAGGCCUGUGGUGGAGAACAAAGGGAUCAAGGCUUUGUAGUGGAUUGUGAUUCCCCUGAAGAGGAAGCUCCUGGGGGUUCCUUGGAAUCGGACGCGACCCCGUUUCUGGUUUCAUCAGAUAACAUGGAUGAGCCUGAUGCCAUUGCCAGUUUGCCCACACCUAGUGACAUCUUGGUUUCCUACUCAACUUUUCCAGGUUUUGUCUCCUGGAGGGAGAAGUCAAGUGGCUCGUGGUAUGUGGAAACGCUGGACAGUGUGCUGGAGCAGUAUGCCCAUUCGGAAGACCUGCUCAGCAUGUUAGUGAGGGUGGCACACGCUGUCUCUGCCAAGGGGAGGUACAAGCAGAUCCCGGGAUGUUUCAAUUUCCUCCGUAAAAAAUUCUUCUUCAUGUGCCGCUGACACAUGGGCUCCGAGCCCCCUGCCAAGCACUGGAGAUUCUUCCUGUGGCUGAAUGAAAUCUGUGCCCACCACGACUUGGUGUCAGUGCUCCCUGUGGAUUUUGUCUGUGUGUCCAGAUGUUUGUCUGGAGAAAUGUGUUCCACGAGCGUUGGCUUUGCCAUGCAGUGGAGAUGAGAGGGAGAUUGUGCUGUUCCAAUGGGAAAUGUGGAUGGAGCAGGAAGUCCCUUUGCUGGAGAACAGAGCCAGAGGAGAGCACUUCCGGCUCACCCUGACACGGCCACACUCGGCCUCAGAGGGUUUUUCUUUGCUGAUCAUGGUAUUUGUGUCCUGUGCUGUCCAGCACCUCCUGAAGGCUCCUCUGAAGUGGGAAGAGUAGGAACCUUCACUCAUGUCUGUGCUGCUCUGUCUGGUCAUUACCAAUGUGGCUGUGCCAGCCUAUGAUCCUGAUCCUUUUGAGGAGUCAGUUGGGAGUUACUACAGGAAACUGCUGAGGAUUCAUUGAAAUACCAGUGCUGAGAGGAAAGCAAGGCCCAAUUCUUCCCAGGAAGCGUGUCCAGAGAUCUUCGUGGAAUGGGUGGGAAAAGCCUCUAGGACCCUGCAGGACCCCGAUGCUGGAUGCUGCCGCCUGCUUUCCCCUGAGAGAAAGGUACUACCCCUUUCCUAAGUCUCCCUAGGCGGAGACCCGGUCUUUUCCAACCAUGUUUAUCCCCCGAGCCUUGGAGGCAGGGGUGGGGGGAAACUCUUCUGGCAGACACUGCCCGAUUGGGUGGGCUUUGACUUGGGAAGACGUGUGUGGACAUGAGAACUCAAUUUUCACGGGGAGAGAGAUUCACUUUGGAAUUCUGGGAGGUCAUGCUU